rnacentral:rRNA from 1 species
UACGGAGGGGGCGAGCGUUAUUCGGAAUUAUUGGGCGUAAAGGGCGCGUAGGCGGCUUCAUAAGUCAAAGGUGAAAUCCCUCGGCUCAACUGAGGAACUGCCUUUGAAACUGUCGGGCUUGAGGCCGGGAGGGGGUAGCGGAAUUCCCAGUGUAGCGGUGAAAUGCGUAGAUAUUGGGAGGAACACCAGUGGCGAAGGCGGCUACCUGGACCGGUUCUGACGCUGAUGCGCGAAAGCGUGGGUAGCAAACAGG